GGAUCGAUGAUGACUCCCCACUCACACCAGCAUUCCUUGGAAAAGCUGAACAAAAUGAGUGAGAACCCCCCUCCGUCUAUCUCAUCGGUUUCUGAGGUCC
ensembl:snoRNA SNORD116 Small nucleolar RNA SNORD116